UCCAUCAAUAGUGAGAAAACCUUGAAUACGAAACUCUAAGUCGUAUUGUGAUUUAGUCCAAGCUACUAAAUCAUGACCAAAUUUGAGCACGAGGGUGAGAGCCAUUGGAGGAAUCGUGCUUAAGGUUUUUGCUCUCGAGGUUGCCAUUUCAAGGUUCGUGUUCAUGAUCGGGCGAAGCAUGCUUCAAGGAUUGAUUCCAAGUACUCGUACUUGCAUGCUAGAAGGCGAAGUCAAAGGCGAUGUUUCUUUGAAGACGGAGCCAAAGGUACCAAGGAGACCUUGGAGUUUGAAGAUUAGAUGCUUCAAGACCAAGUUCAAGGGGCCAUACUAGGAUCACUAUGCAUUUAUUUAUUUAUGCCUUGAUAUUUAAAUGCAUGCCUAUUGGAUUUCUUA